ACCAUGGAAGGGACUUUACUUGGCUGACGAGGACGCACCUCACCAGUAUCAGAGCAACAGCUGUGGGGUGUUUAUGCUGAUGUACGCAAUGUAUUCUACCCUCAAAAGCAAUAUGAUUUCAGUGAGGGGGACAUGCUCUCUAUCAGGAGGUGGUGGUUUGACAGCUGUUGGAGACCUUUAUGCUUGAAAGGCUAGCCCUGCAGAACUAGCUGGCUCCUUCUCACCCUCUCCAUCUCCCCAUCUCAGUCACACCUUCCAAUCACUAAGCAGUGAAA